UGCACCUGACCUAACCCAACCCCACAACCACAUAAUUAUAUUCCCUUUAUCCAUUACCAGUUCCACGAGAGGGAGAGGGAGAGGGAGUGGGAGCACACACGCACUUGGCGCAGGACCCAUUUUUGGGCAAGAGCACAGGAGAAAACCGUGUGCAUACGAAACCAGUGGGCGAAGAAGGGCAAAAGCUGAUGACAAGGACACACCAUAGGUGCGAGCAGGCAGCAGCGCAGCGAGGCAAGGCAACAAUCUCCGGCCGGCUCAUUCAGCCCGAACCACUUGCGACGACGACGACGGCGCGCCACCGCUGCUGCUACCUGCCAUCUAGAAGAAGAUUUCUACCCACCCCGUCGACGACAGGCCAUUGGUUUGACGUCAAGGUUGGCUUGUGAGACGGUCUAGAAGGAUCAUUGGUCCAGCCAAGAGGAUUAGGCAUGCGGGUCGUGUGACACCGAGCUGGAAACCGGACUGGCGAAUGACUUCAUUUACACGAGAGGCGGUUGGUUUGGGCACUGUGAGCUCCUCCUGCAACGACACACAGCCGACCUCCAGCACCAUCGACCUAGUAGAUGACAUGACGUUCUGGUGAUCUGGCGGGAGAGAAAUAUUGCUGUAUGGAUGUAGUAUGAUUUAGUGCAUGUUUGUUUCACAGGAUUCUAGAAAAAGCGGGAAUAGAAAACAACAAAUGAUUGAAAUGUCA